rnacentral:rRNA from 1 species
GACGAACGCUGGCGGCGUGCUUAACACAUGCAAGUCGAACGGAGUGGCGAACGGGUGAGUAACCCGUGGGUGACCUGCCCUGCACUACGGGUUAAGCCGGGGAAACUGGGUCUACUACCGGCUAGUGUGGGGUGGGCCCGCGGCCUAUCAGCUUGUUGGUGGGGUAAUGGCCUACCAGGGCGGCGACGGGUAGCCGGCCUGCGAGGGUGGACGGCAACAUUGGGACUAGGACACGGCCCAGACUCCUACGGGGGGCAGCAGGGGGGAAUAGUGCACAAGGGGCGGAAGCCUGAUGCAGCGACGCCGGGUGGGGGAUGACGGCCUACGGGUUGUAAACUCCUUUCACCAUCGACGCGGUAGAUGGAGAAGAAGCACCGGCUAACUACGUGCCAGCAGCCGCGGUAAUUC